GACGAACGCUGGCGGCGUGCCUAACACAUGCAAGUGGAGCGACGAACCGGGCUUCGGCCCGGGGCAAAGCCGCGCACGGGUGAGUAACACGUGGGUAACCUGCCCUGAUGAUUGGGACAACCCGCGGAAACUCGGGCGAAUACCGAAUGUGCCCUCUGGCCGUAAGGCCUCUGGGGAAAGGAAGCUUCGGCCUCCGCCUCGGGAUGGGCCCGCGGCGCAUUAGCUUGGUGGUGAGGUAACGGCUCACCAAGGCGACGAUGCGGUGCUGGUCAGAGAGGAGGAUCAGCCACACUGGGACUGAGACACGGCCCAGACUCCUACGGGAGGCAGCAGUGGGGAAUCUUGCGCAAUGCGCGAAAGCGUGACGCAGCAACGCCGCGUGGGGGAAGAAGGCCUUCGGGUUGUAAACCCCUUUCAGUUGGGACGAAGCUCCGGCGGUGAAUAGCCGUCUGGAGUGACGGUACCUUCAGAAGAAGCCCCGGCUAACUACGUGCCAGCCGCCGCCGUAAAAC
rnacentral:rRNA from 1 species